rnacentral:rRNA from 1 species
UACGGGGGGAGCAAGCGUUGUUCGGAUUUACUGGGCGUAAAGGGCGCGUAGGCGGCCACCGCAAGUCGACUGUGAAAUCUCCGGGCUUAACUCGGAAAGGUCAGCCGAUACUGCGGGGCUAGAGUGCAGAAGGGGCAACUGGAAUUCUCGGUGUAGCGGUGAAAUGCGUAGAUAUCGAGAGGAACACCUGCGGCGAAGGCGGGUUGCUGGGGCUGACACUGACGCUGAUUGUGCGAAAGCUAGGGGAGCGAACGGG